ensembl:misc_RNA Metazoa_SRP Metazoan signal recognition particle RNA
GCUAGGCAUAGUGGUUUGCACCUUUAGUGCUAGUUCCUGGGGAGGCAGGGGCAGGAAGAUCGCUUGAGCCCAGGAGUUCUGGGCUGUAGCAUGCUAUGCCGAUCGGGUAUCCGUACUAAGUUCGGCAUCAAUAUGAUGACCUCCUGGGAGCAGAGGACCAUCAGGUUGCCUAAGGAGGGGUGAACUGGCCCAGAUCAGAAAAGGAGCAGGUUGGUAGUUUAAAUUGCAUUGCACUGAAGAAAUAGGUGGUGGGAUCUUGCUGGGUGUUUGAUUAGCCCUUUCUCU